rnacentral:lncRNA from 1 species
GUGUAUUUUAAGGCAGCAGCCAGCUAGCCCGGCUCCUCACUAUGGCGGCUCUUCCCAGGGGUCUUCCCCCACUCAGUCUGACCUGUGUAAGUCCUGGUCACUACUGUGAUGAGAAACAGAGACUCUGGAUGGUUACAAACCCAGAAUUUACUCCCUACCAUAACAGGCCUGAACCUGCUCUGAGUAUCAAGUUGUGGCAGGUGAGUGAAUUCUCCAAGGAUCUGCUCUCUGACUUAUCCUCAGUUUUGGAUUAUAUCCCGUACAAGUGGGAGCAAUAUUCUCUGGUAAUGUACUGGGGAACAGACUCCCAGUUCUGGAAAUUAACGGACCAUAUCCAGAGCUGGCUAGAUGUGAGUCACCCAGGAUCCUGAUGGCUCUUCACUCUCCUGCAGAUUGGUGACAGAGAACAACUGGUCCUUAAGCUAGAGUGCGCCGAUGAUGUUGACAGCUCUUCAGGCUCCUGUCCCUUGCAACCUAGGUGAAGAUUUUAUGCAUCUGCUUCUCGGCUUGUUCCCCUGGUCUCCAGUCCAGCAGUGCCUCCUGCUCCGCUCAGCCCUGAACUCCAGAUCUGCUUCUGUGAACCUGUCCAAUGUCCUGAGCCUUCUCCCUCCCUGGGUACAGCUUGGCUUUCUUGUCUCCUUUAUGUCUCUGAUGCUGACAUCACAGAUGGUCCUUCUAAAGACCCCCUCGUCCCUUUGAACCCCUCUCCUGGGCUCCCAGUGCAGCAUGUCCCUCAGGCGACUCUGAUCUGGAGGUUCCUGUGGAGCAGGUAUGGAUGGGGACUCCAUGCCCUGUGGAACUCUGAGAUACCAUGAUGGCUAGAAGUUGACCUGGUGCUGGGCAGAGGACUCUGUGCUCAGUGGCUUGAAGACACAAUGGGAUGUGUGCAGUGAGCAUCUGGUGUACUUCUCCCACAAGCUCAGUACUUGGCUCCUAGAAGUGAUGCUGACCCCAACCCCCACCCCAAACUCGAUUUUAACUAAUUAAACUUUA